UACGUAGGGUGCGAGCGUUAAUCGGAAUUACUGGGCGUAAAGCGUGCGCAGGCGGCUUUGCAAGACAGAUGUGAAAUCACCGGGCUCAACCUGGGAACUGCAUUUGUGACUGCAAGGCUAGAGUGCGGCAGAGGGAGAUGGAAUUCCGCGUGUAGCAGUGAAAUGCGUAGAUAUGCGGAGGAACACCGAUGGCGAAGGCAAUCUCCUGGGCCUGCACUGACGCUCAUGCACGAAAGCGUGGGGAGCAAAC
rnacentral:rRNA from 1 species